rnacentral:rRNA from 1 species
GACGAACCGUGCAAACGUUAUUCGGAAUCACUGGGCUUAAAGGGCGCGUAGGCGGUCUGCCAAGUCGGGGUUGAAAUCUUUCGGCUCAACCGGAAAAGUGGCUUCGAUACUGGCAGGCUGGAGGGAGGUAGGGGCAGAUGGAACUUCCGGUGGAGCGGUGAAAUGUGUUGAUAUCGGAAGGAACGCCGGUGGCGAAAGCGAUCUGCUGGACCUCUUCUGACGCUGAGGCGCGAAAGCCAGGGGAGCAAACGGG